rnacentral:rRNA from 1 species
UACGUAGGGGGCAAGCGUUGUCCGGAAUUAUUGGGCGUAAAGAGCUCGUAGGCGGUUUGUCGCGUCUGCUGUGAAAACCCGAGGCUCAACCUCGGGCCUGCAGUGGGUACGGGCAGACUAGAGUGCGGUAGGGGAGAUUGGAAUUCCAGGUGUAGCGGUGAAAUGCGUAGAUAUCUGGAGGAACACCGGUGGCGAAGGCGGCAUCCUGGACCAACACUGACGCUGAGGAGCGAAAGCCAGGGGAGCAAACGGG